GCGGGUGUGGUGUAAUGGCAGCACACGACCCUUCCAAGGUCUUAGCGUCAGUUCGAAUCUGAUCACCCGCU
rnacentral:tRNA from 1 species